AGGGUUUAAGCGAGUGAGGGGGAGAGAACCAGAUAGUGAGGGAGCGCGAGAGGGUGGUCGACUGUCGCCAGAGUCCGUUCGUCAAGCGCCGUCCUUGCAGUGCUUCCCCCGAACCAAGUAGGUCUUGUCCGUAGCUUUUUGAUUUGUGUCGAGUUGCGUCGCCUUCCCGAGGAUCUCGCUUCGGGAACACCGUGGGAUGGCCAGUCAUCACUCGAUCCAUUUCGAGUUUUUCUCUCCCGUCGCCGCUGCCGAAGUCGAGUAGAUCUCUCAUUUUAAAAGCCUCUUCCUGUGAACCCUUCGCUGCUCCGUCCUAUUUUGGUAGGAUAGGAUGUUGAGUUUUGUUCCUCCCGUUAGUCACACGCGUACUGGGCUUCUGGGGGCUAAUGUGGUUAAUUUCGAAUGCCCAUUUGAUGAUUUUUUUCAAGUUUGCCGCUGAGUCCGAGCACAAAAAGGGUUGAUAUCGUUCCUCCGUUCCAUGCCCACCACAUGUUCGACGAUAUGUCUAA
rnacentral:lncRNA from 1 species